rnacentral:lncRNA from 7 species
CAAGAAACAAAGAAAUAAAAUGGGAGAGGAGGGGAUAAAACUCACCGUACGCCGAGUAUGACACCGAGUGUGGAUCUGGGACGAGAAGUUGAGGAGCGAUGGGACACCCGAGUGUGGAUCUAGGAGAUGCUCUGAGAUGUGGUGUGCUACCUUCUACCACUGCAGUCCAGAUCCAGUCCCUGUCCAAUGGUCGAAGGAGAUGCUCUGAGAUUGUGGUGCUACGAGAUAUGCUGGGCGGUAGGAGAGGAUGGCAGCAGUGAAGCCGUGGAGGGUGGCGGCGGUGGAGCUCUAUCCCUGUCCAAUGGUCGAAGGAGCCCUAUCCCUGUCCAUUGGAGGGUGGCGGCGGUGAGUAGAGGUGAGGACGAGAGAGAGAUAGGCGUAGGGCGG